GUCGCGAUGCCAGAGUGGUUAAUGGGUAAGACUUGAAUGCUCCCGCAUUUAGUCAUCUUAUGGUUUCGUAAGUUUAAAGUUCUGUCGCAGCUUUCUGAGCUCCUUCUAACAAAGACAGGGCCUCGUAGGUUCAAAUCCUGCUCGCGACG
rfam:Phialocephala scopiformis strain CBS 120377 unplaced genomic scaffold LY89scaffold_16, whole genome shotgun sequence.